AGGGUUUGAUCAUGGCUCAGAACGAACGCUGGCGGCAGGCUUAACACAUGCAAGUCGAGCGCCCCGCAAGGGGAGCGGCAGACGGGUGAGUAACGCGUGGGAACGUACCCUUUACUACGGAAUAACGCAGGGAAACUUGUGCUAAUACCGUAUGUGCCCUUAGGGGGAAAGAUUUAUCGGUAAAGGAUCGGCCCGCGUUGGAUUAGCUAGUUGGUGGGGUAAAGGCCUACCAAGGCGACGAUCCAUAGCUGGUCUGAGAGGAUGAUCAGCCACAUUGGGACUGAGACACGGCCCAAACUCCUACGGGAGGCAGCAGUGGGGAAUAUUGGACAAUGGGCGCAAGCCUGAUCCAGCCAUGCCGCGUGAGUGAUGAAGGCCCUAGGGUUGUAAAGCUCUUUCACCGGAGAAGAUAAUGACGGUAUCCGGAGAAGAAGCCCCGGCUAACUUCGUGCCAGCAGCCGCGGUAAUACGAAGGGGGCUAGCGUUGUUCGGAAUUACUGGGCGUAAAGCGCACGUAGGCGGAUCGAUCAGUCAGGGGUGAAAUCCCAGGGCUCAACCCUGGAACUGCCUUUGAUACUGUCGAUCUGGAGUAUGGAAGAGGUGAGUGGAAUUCCGAGUGUAGAGGUGAAAUUCGUAGAUAUUCGGAGGAACACCAGUGGCGAAGGCGGCUCACUGGUCCAUUACUGACGCUGAGGUGCGAAAGCGUGGGGGAGCAAACAGGAUUAGAUACCCUGGUAGUCCACGCCGUAAACGAUGAAUGUUAGCCGUCGGGCAGUAUACUGUUCGGUGGCGCAGCUAACGCAUUAAACAUUCCGCCUGGGGAGUACGGUCG
rnacentral:rRNA from 1 species